rnacentral:rRNA from 1 species
GACGUAGGGGGCAAGCGUUGUCCGGAAUUAUUGGGCGUAAAGCGCUCGUAGGCGGAUCGGUAAGUCUGUGAAGAAAGACCCGGGCUCAACUCGGGGAACGGCAUAGAUACUGCUGAUCUUGAGACAGUCAGAGGAUGAUGGAAUUCCAGGUGUAGCGGUGAAAUGCGUAGAGAUGUGGAGGAACACCGAUGGCGAAGGCAGCCCCCCUGGGCUAACACUGACGCUCAGGCAACGAAAGGCGUGGGGGAGCAAACAGG